ACCACGACCAAGAGGGAGGCCACGCCGGACCACGGUAGGUCAGCGACUGGGGUG
rnacentral:rRNA from 1 species